GAUAGUCCGCAAGGAUUAUCAGGGAGUGGCAAACGGCUGAGUAACGCGUAAGUGACCUACCUUCAAGUGGGGGAUAACCUGUCGAAAGACAGGCUAAUACCGCAUGUGUUAGUAAGUUAAAUCACAUUUAUUAGGAAAGCCUUCGGGCGCUUGAAGAUGGGCUUGCGUCUGAUUAGCUAGUUGGUGGGGUAACGGCCUACCAAGGCGAUGAUCAGUAGCUGGUCUUAGAGGACAACCAGCCAGACGGGGACUGCGACACGGCCCUGACUCCUACGGGAGGCAGCAGCAAGGAAUUUUGCGCAAUGGGCGAAAGCCUGACGCAGCAACGCCGCGUGGGGGAUGAAGGCCCUCGGGUUGUAAACCCCUUUUCUCGGGGAAGAAUAAUGACGGUACUCGAGGAAUAAGUCUUGGCUAACUACGUGCCAGCAGCCGCGGUAAUACGUAGAAGGCGAACGUUAUCCGGAAUUACUGGGCGUAAAGCAGGUGCAGACGGUUCCAUAAGUCGGGUGUUAAAUCUCCUGACUUAAUCAGGAGGGGUCAUUCGAUACUGUGGAGCUUGAGGGCAGCAGAGGAAGGCGGAAUUCCCGGUGUAGCGGUGAA
rnacentral:rRNA from 1 species